rnacentral:lncRNA from 1 species
GGUCACUGAGAUAUGGCUUAUGUAAAUAAAUUGGGAAGUUGAGUGUUUUUAAUUUUUUUAUAUAUACAAAGCAGAAACUUUUGAAAUGUUCUUCAAUUAAUUCUUGAGCCUGGCCUUUACAAUUUAUUUAAACACACACACACGCACACGUUUUUUAUUAGGCAGUAUUUCUCAGAAAAACAAAACCAAUAGGACAUACAUCUACGUGUUUGUGUGUGUAGAAAUUUACUAUGGAAAUUGACUCAUGUUAUAAUUUAUUAUGGGAAUUAUAGAGGUGGAGAAAUCCCAUGAUUUGCCAUCUGCAAGCUGGAGAACCAGGAAAAACAGUGGUGUAAUUCAGUCAACUCCAAAGGUGAGAUGGGGGAGGGAGAUGGGGAGAGACUGAAGUAAGUCCCAGGUCAAGUCAAAUGUUUGAGAACCAGGUGUGCUGAUUUCUGAGAAGGGGAGAAGAUAAAUGGCCUAGCUCUGAAAGAGAGGGUCUGAGACCCUCUGAUUUUUCUUGGAAUCCCCAGGAGUUAGCAAAAUCUGUGCAGCAGCCAUUGCAUCUUCUAGCAGGAAAGUUUCUACCAAAGACCUUUCCAGUAUCAACAUAUGAAGAAGAAGAAAGAAACUGGCUGUUACCGAUCUCACAGUCUUUCUGAUGGACAAAAGUGACAAAGCAUGAAGACUGAAGACGACAGGAAUUUUAUAUUUAG